UGGGGAAUAUUGCGCAAUGGGCGAAAGCCUGACGCAGCGACGCCGCGUGAGGGAUGAAGGUUUUCGGAUCGUAAACCUCUGUCAGAAGGGAAGAAACCGCACUGUGCUAAUCAGCAGUGCCUUGACGGUACCUUCAAAGGAAGCACCGGCUAACUCCGUGCCAGCAGCCGCGGUAAUACGGAGGGUGCAAGCGUUAAUCGGAAUUACUGGGCGUAAAGCGCACGUAGGCUGCUUUGUACGUCAGGGGUGAAAUCCCACGGCUCAACCGUGGAACUGCCUUUGAUACUGCUUAGCUUGAAUCCGGGAGAGGGUGGCGGAAUUCCAGGUGUAGGAGUGAAAUCCGUAGAUAUCUGGAGGAACAUCAGUGGCGAAGGCGGCCACCUGGACCGGUAUUGACGCUGAGGUGCGAAAGCGUGGGGAGCAAACAGG
rnacentral:rRNA from 1 species